rnacentral:rRNA from 1 species
GACGAACGCUGGCGGCGUGCUUAACACAUGCAAGUCGAACGGAAAGGCCCUGCUUGCCGGGUACUCGAGUGGCGAACGGGUGAGUAACACGUGGGUGAUCUGCCCUGCACUUCGGGAUAAGCCUGGGAAACUGGGUCUAUUACCGGAUAGGAGCCAUUUUUAGUGUGAUGGUUGGAAAGAUUUUUCGGUGUAGGAUGAGCUCGCGGCCUAUCAGCUUGUUGGUGGGGUAAUGGCCUACCAAGGCGGCGACGGGUAGCCGGCCUGAGAGGGUGGACGGCCACACUGGGACUGAGAUGCGGCCCAGACGCCGACGGGAGGCAGAAGUGGGGAAUAUUGAACCAGGGGCGCCAGCCGGAUGCAGCGACGCCGCGUGGGGGAUGACGGCCUUAGGGUUGAAAACUCGUUUCGCUAGGGACGAAGCUUUUUGUGACGGUACCUAGAUAAGAAGCACCGGCUAACUACGUG